AUUGAACGCUGGCGGCAGGCCUAACACAUGCAAGUCGAGCGAGCGGCGGACGGGCGAGCAAUGUAUGGGGACUGCCCGACAGAGCGGGCUAACUACUGGAAACGGUGGCUAAUACCGCAUACUAUCCGAUAACCCACACGGGAGUAGCCAGUAGGUGGGGUAAAGGCUCACCUAGGCGACGAUCCCUAGCUGGUCAGAGAGGAUGAUCUGCCACACUGGGACUGAGACACGGCACAGACUCCUACGGAGGCAGCAGUAGGGAAUAUUGCGCAAUGGACGCAAGCCUGAUGGAGCCAUGCCGCGUGAAUGAAGAAGGCCUUAGGGUUGUAAAGUACUGUCAGCGGGGAGGCGUUACCCGCAGAGAAAGCACCGGCUAACUCCGUGCCAGCCGCCGCGGUAAUUC
rnacentral:rRNA from 1 species